CACGUAGGGUGCGAGCGUUGUCCGGAAUUAUUGGGCGUAAAGAGCUCGUAGGCGGUGUGUCGCGUCGGCCGUGAAAACCUGCAGCUUAACUGUGGGCUUGCGGUCGAUACGGGCAUCACUGGAGUUCGGCAGGGGAGACUGGAAUUCCUGGUGUAGCGGUGAAAUGCGCAGAUAUCGGGAGGAACACCCGUAGCGAAGGCGGCACUCUGGGCCGUGACUGACGCUGAGGAGCGAAAGCGUGGGUAGCAAACAGG
rnacentral:rRNA from 1 species